rnacentral:rRNA from 1 species
GUAGGUGGCAAGCCUUGUCCGGAAUUAUUGGGCGUAAAGCGCGCGCAGGCGGUUCUUUAAGUCUGAUGUGAAAGCCCACGGGCUCAACCGUGGAGGGUCAUUGGAAACUGGAGAACUUGAGUACAGAAGAGGAAAGCGGAAUUCCACGUGUAGCGGUGAAAUGCGUAGAGAUGUGGAGGAACACCAGUGGCGAAGGCGGCUUUCUGGUCUGUAACUGACGCUGAGGCGCGAAAGCGUGGGGAGCAAACAGGAUUAGAUACCCUGGUAGUCCACGCCGUAAACGAUGAGUGCUAAGUGUUAGGGGGUUUCCGCCCCUUAGUGCUGCAGCUAACGCAUUAAGCACUCCGCCUGGGGAGUACGGCCGCAAGGCUG